rnacentral:rRNA from 1 species
AUUGAACGCUGGCGGCAGGCCUAACACAUGCAAGUCGAACGAGCGGCGGACGGGUGAGUAAUGUAUGGGGAUCUGCCCGAUGGAGGGGGAUAACUACUGGAAACGGUAGCUAAUACCGCAUACCAUCCGAUGCACCCAUAUGGGAUUAGCUUGUAGGUGAGGUAACGGCUCACCUAGGCGACGAUCCCUAGCUGGUCUGAGAGGAUGACCAUCCACACUGGAACUGAGACACGGCCCAGACUCCUACGGGAGGCAGCAGUGGGGAAUAUUGCACAAUGGGCGCAAGCCUGAUGCAGCCAUGCCGCGUGUAUGAAGAAGGCCUUCGGGUUGUAAAGUACUUUCAGUGGGGAGGCGUUACCGGCAGAAGAAGCACCGGCUAACUCCGUGCCAGCCGCCGCGGUAAUAC